rnacentral:lncRNA from 1 species
GUUUUGUUUUAACUAUACAUAGUACAAGCACUCGGGGAGAGCGGGGGGGAACAAGCUGUGAGAACCUUAACUUGAGCAAAAUCAACCUAUGUAUAGAUCACAGAUUUGGCUUCACACUGCUGUAGAGCGUGCUUUCAAAUCCAGCAAUAUCCACUACUCCACAUCAGUCUGGGCAAAUUCCUGCACUACAGCACACAGCUGAUAACUUUCAGAUAGAAUAGAAAAAGUACAAUAUGUGAGUCUCAUGAAAUAAGCUGAAUUUCAAUUUUUUGGCAUGCUAUUAACAUCAUUUCUAAUUGUUUUUAUAGGAGAAGGUGUGACGGCAACCUCAGGAAGGGAGCUUUCAAGUACUGUCCUUUGGCCAGUGAACACGAUCUCUGUUUUGCCAGCCUCACGACUAACAGACCUUCUGUCUCAAAGAAUGAAAAAGAAAUUGCCAGGUGAAAGUUACUGAACUGGGGAAAUACCAAGCCCUGCUCAAAUGUGCCAUUGAAAUCAAGGAUGUCGGUCUUCCUGUCUGCAGGGGAACUGGACCGGCAUGUGAAGUCUGCGUGCUAGGACCUGGCAGGACCCCGCUCGGAGCAAGGACUCGCCUGCCCAGGGAAGCAGAGGGCAUC